rnacentral:rRNA from 1 species
AGCUCCAAUAGCGUAUAUUAAAGUUGUUGCAGUUAAAAAGCUCGUAGUUGGAUUUCGGAGCCGACCGGGCGGUCUGUCGAGAGACACGCACUGCACGGUGGCUCUUCCUCUCGGAGGCCCUGGCUGCCCUUAACUGGAGCGGGCAGGGGAUUCGGGACGUUUACUUUGAAAAAAUUAGAGUGUUCAAAGCAGGCCGGUGCUUGGAUACAUUAGCAUGGAAUAAUGGAAUAAGGCUUGGGUCUUAUUUUGUUGGUUUUCGGAACAUGAAGUAAUGAUUAAGAGGGACAGACGGGGGCAUUCGUAUUGCGGUGGGAGAGGUGAAAUUCUUGGAUCAUCGCAAGACGCCCUACAGCGAAAGCAUUUGCCAAGAAUGUUUCCAUUAAUCAAGAACGAAAGUAGG